rnacentral:rRNA from 1 species
GAUGAACGCUGGCGGCGUGCCUAAUACAUGCAAGUCGAGCGAACAGACGAGGAGCUUGCUCCUCUGACGUUAGCGGCGGACGGGUGAGUAACACGUGGAUAACCUACCUAUAAGACUGGGAUAACUUCGGGAAACCGGAGCUAAUACCGGAUAAUAUAUUGAACCGCAUGGUUCAAUAGUGAAAGACGGUUUUGCUGUCCCUUAUAAAUGGAUCCGCGCCGCAUUAGCUAGUUGGUAAGGUAACGGCUUACCAAGGCAACGAUGCGUAGCAGACCUGAGAGGGUGAUCGGCCACACUGGAACUGAGACACGGUCCAGACUCCUACGGGAGGCAGCAGUAGGGAAUCUUCCGCAAUGGGCGAAAGCUUGACGGAGCAACGCCGCGUGAGUGAUGAAGGUCUUCGGAUCGUAAAACUCUGUGAUUAGGGAAGAACAAAUGUGUAAGUAACUAUGCACGUCUUGACGGUACCUAAUCAGAAAGCCACGGCUAACUACGUG